UUGGCUCAGGACGAACGCUGGCGGCAGGCCUAACACAUGCAAGUCGAGCGGCAGCACAAGGGAGUUUACUCCUGAGGUGGCGAGCGGCGGACGGGUGAGUAAUGCCUAGGGAUCUGCCCAGUCGAGGGGGAUAACAGUUGGAAACGACUGCUAAUACCGCAUACGCCCUACGGGGGAAAGAGGGGGACCUUCGGGCCUCUCGCGAUUGGAUGAACCUAGGUGGGAUUAGCUAGUUGGUGAGGUAAUGGCUCACCAAGGCGACGAUCCCUAGCUGUUCUGAGAGGAUGAUCAGCCACACUGGGACUGAGACACGGCCCAGACUCCUACGGGAGGCAGCAGUAGG
rnacentral:rRNA from 1 species